GCUGGUAAGAGGCAAAACAACUCACUUUGGCCGACUCCAUGGUCUUUGCCAUACCACCAGGAACAGACUUCUAAGAGAUGAACUAUCUCUUAGAAGGGAAGAGCUAAAGUUGUCUAUUGAUGUUGGGCUCCUGGGAGCACAGGCCCUGGAAGAAGCCAUGUCCUACUGAUGAACUUCACCUCCUCCAUCCAGGCAGCCUCCUGGGGUGCCCCCUACCCCUCAGGCUGGGUUAGGGCGCCUCUAGUGAAAAUGUCUGUUUAAGUCAUGUGUCUGCCUUGCUUUGACUUGUUCACACUCAGUAUUUGUGCAGUGGGAGUCUCCCUUCAUUGAAUGAAUAAGGUUUCAGGACUGGAGGAGACCUGGGCAGGGGAACUUGGUAUGAUGGUGGUACAGACAGACCUAUGAACUCACCCAUGUUCACCCUCUGCAGCCUGUUGAGGCCCACAGGGGCAAAACGUGGGGGAAGUCAAGUGCCUUGCUGUAUGCUUUGGGCUCUUAAAGGAGAAUGGAACCAUUAGCCAUGGCCAGGGGCCAGGGCACCUGAGUUGACCCUGUAAGGGACAUUCUUGAGAGUGGAGGCCAAGCUGGUACUGGGUGUGGCAUUACUCUGGAUCUGGAAUGUAGUGGAACCAGUGGCUGGGCUGGUUAGGGCCCCAGGCUGCGGCCCCAGGCUCUGUCCCUCUCUGCAGUUUUGACAGUGUUCCAGAAGCCAUCCUCCACCCCUCACUCCAUGUACCACUAUGUGAGUGAAAAGAAAAUCUUUAUUUUUCAGGAAGAGAAACAGAGGAGAGGAACUCAGACUUAGGAGGCUGGGGCCACGGGUCCAUGGUUGUCCAGGUAGCGCCUCAGGGCUGUGGGAUAAUCUGUUAUGACACCAGUAGCC
rnacentral:lncRNA from 1 species